GCUUUGUCUUUAACUGAUCUGAAGAGCUUGCUCUGAUUUGAUUUUAUCUGACAAAGAGUGGCGAACGGGUGAGUAACACGUGGGUAACCUACCUCUUAGCAGGGGAUAACAUUUGGAAACAAGUGCUAAUACCGUAUAAUACCAACAACCGCAUGGUUGUUGGUUGAAAGAUGGUUCUGCUAUCACUAAGAGAUGGACCCGCGGUGCAUUAGCUAGUUGGUAAGGUAACGGCUUACCAAGGCAAUGAUGCAUAGCCGAGUUGAGAGACUGAUCGGCCACAAUGGGACUGAGACACGGCCCAUACUCCUACGGGAGGCAGCAGUAGGGAAUCUUCCACAAUGGGCGCAAGCCUGAUGGAGCAACGCCGCGUGUGUGAUGAAGG
rnacentral:rRNA from 1 species